GUGAAGAGAAUAUUAUGGAUGGUGAGAUUGUUCCUUCUUAGAUCUGCCAAUAGUAUUGAGUUGGAGAAUCCUAGAGUUGCCUAUCUUUGUGAGUUGUUUUUCCAUUGGCUGCUGCAUUUGAGAAGGCUCAUACAAUUGAUCCAACAUCAAGUGGGUGUGGCGUCCGACAAUUCAAGACUUGUCUGCUGCGCAAGGUCGAAAGGGAAGAGGAGAUAACACGGAAACAUACUACCAAACUUUCUACGAGACUAGAAUCCGGGAUGGUGAAUUUACUAAAGAACCGAGGAGAUGGUUACGAAUGUUCAGAUUGCCACUGUCUUGUAUGAAGUACUGAAGACUGUGCUAGCUCAUCGAACUAUCGAUGAGAAGACAAAAAAAUAUGCUGCGGAUGUUGAGAAUAAGAAGGGACAGUAUGAGCAUUAUAUAUGCAGCUCCUCUUGUUCAGAUGAUAAACUUAGAGGUCCAGGAAGCUACCAAAGAGAUGAUAUUGUACCAGAUGAGAGUCCUCUUGUGAACCAUCUGAGGAAAAGAUUGAUAAUGCUUUGAAGGUACUAUCUAUCUAAGUCUCAAGGGUGAUGAUUUGAUGAUGUCAAGCACUAAAGUAAAUAACAGAUAUGUGUAAUUUUUUUAUAUUAUGAAGCACAGAAUCUGGACAAAGGUAUAUACUUAGUUUUAUUGUGAUAAAAUGCUUUUGGUUACUAAGGAUAAUCAUAACCAAGUUCAAGUUGUAUAAACUGCUAAAUGCUUUUUUGAGGUUUAGUAUGAUUAAAGAAACUCUGAUGAGAUUGGAAGCAUAUGAACUUUUAAGGGGCAAA